rnacentral:tRNA from 1 species
GGUGGGGUGGCAGAAUGUAUGCAGUAGAGUUAAGUUUUAUGUAUGGACAGUACAGUCCCCCCGCUU